UAAAUAAGGUGCAGCAGAAACUAGAAAAGGAGAUUUAAACAAAUACCAAACUUGUCAAUCACUGUUCAUACAAUUUUUACUCUCCAGCCAUUUUGUGGCAUUGGAGCUGAGGGUGUAAUCUUACAAUGAUAAACAAUUACAAAAGCUAAGCAUCUUUCUGUUACAAAUACCAUUCAGCUGCCCUUUCCGAAAAGAAACUUUUCUGCAGACUUAAAGUAUAUGGAGUGAACCUACACAAAACCUGCAAAAUUUAACAUAACAUCUAUAAUCAAUACCAUAAACAAAAGAAAAAGUCUUGAUCAAAAUAAGAAAGCGUACUGAAAAUAGGGUAUGAACAUGUUAAAAGUCAAAUGUGAGUUGAUCGACGUGAAGGCUUAAUAUUUAAGGUUGUGCUUAAGACCUACAUGCUUAAGCUUUUGGGUCAAGUUGGUUUCAGUAGGUGCAAUAAGGCCUCUUUUAUGGACUCCCCAUCUCCCAAAGAAAACAAAAUGCCUAACUAGCUCUCAAACUAGAGUCUAGAGAACAAAACUGAAAACAAGAUUUGGUCACUAUGAUUGUCAAUAAGCAUAGCAGUCCUUAUUGAUAGAGGAGCUAAUGGAGAUUAUAGUCAGCAUUUAGCUUGGAGGUAAAGGUGAGGUCAAUUCAUACAAUAAGAAAGAUUAAAACGGAAACCAUUUCAAUUUCAUGCACUUUUGCUGGUUUGUAUAUAAUACAAACCCCUUGUAAGAAAUAUGCACCCUGAAUUACCAGUACAACCAAUUAAUAAUUGACAUUCAAACACUAGUUAGAAUAAUGUACCUACUUUCCACCUACAAACCUUUUAUAGCAUAUGACUAAUCGUCCCAGAUAUGCAGAGAUCAAACAACACAAAAUAAAUAAAUAACCAAAAUUUUACCUAGUGUAAACUUCUUUUAAGAUAAAACAAGACUUCACUUUUAGCUCUAAAGAGUAACGAACUCCAAAUGUAACCCAAGUAAUAUUAGUUUGUACCUACGCAAUGAGAACAGACCGGUAAUACCCUGGAUCUUACAAAAAGGAUUUCAAGACAGCUUGCUCUGCAAGCCUCAUCAACAACAAAAAAAAUUAUGUCUGUUUGUUCAGUAACACUUACAUUUGAAGAAGGGGAAUAUUAAGAUGUCUUUGCUUCUACGCAAAAAAACUCUUUCUGGUAACCUUUUGACAAUAACCAAAAGAUUUUAGAAAAGUUGUUUUAAUAUAUAUCGACACCUACAAAAAUAUUUUACAAAAGAAUAAAUAAGUCAUCCUAGGGCAUAAACUUACUCCAGGAGAUAUCACCCAGAAACUAGCUUCACAACAAUGCAAAGGGAGUUGAGCAUCAUAAGAAGAACUCUCAAGUACUGGGUUGCAUAUAUGAGACCAAUAAGCUGUCCCUUGAACGAGUUUCUCUUGACCCCUGAAAAUUCCUGGAAGCUCCACCCUCUAGGCGCGAGAAAGCGGUCCUCGUUCAAUAUUGCCAGUGCAUUUGCAAGAAGCAAACAGCCCUCUAACAGUGUCCACAAACCCAUUUCCUGCAUGAUUGAACAGGAUUUUUCGUUUGGGUAGGUCAUGAUUGAACAGUUAAUCAAAUUUGCUCAACUUUUGGCCAAAUUCAAGUGGAAGAAGUCUUUUCCUAAGACACAUUACAUUUAAAAAUAAAAUAGAAACAAGAAAAAAAGAAAAGAAAAAGAAGGUAUUUUGUAUGUAAAAAUUUAAUGAGACACCCCACCCUGAAAACAAAAAAAUGCGCAGACAUACAUCAGUUAAAUAGUUUUUGCAAAAAAUAUACUUAUGUGGUAACAAUGAAGCUAGAAUUGCUCUGACUUACUUCUGAAGCAGUCUGACAUACUACACAUGAUUUGCGUAUAUGCCCUUCAAUAUCAUGAGGUGUUUAGUAUCAAAAAAAGGCUUGUCCCACCCAUUUGAUGCAUUCAAGUCACAUUGACCGAGUAGAAAAGUAAGUACAGAGGAUUCAGCAUAAUAAUUUGCAAUACGUGUUCAUAGAAGGAAACAAAUCUGCGAUCAUGAUGUAGGGCGCAGCUGAACCCAGUUAUUUGUAGAAAAAGUGACAAUCACAAGAACAAGAAAAAGGGACCAUCAGUAGCAUGAGAUAUAGUGCCUAAUUAUUGACAGAUUAGAAAAGUGCAUUCUACUUUGCAUUGUCGAGAAUUUACAUUCCCAAAUGCCAAAAAAAUGCUCUAAGAAUGUCCGGAUCUACUUCAAUACAUGCUACCCAAAUGUACAUAUUCCACACAUUCGUGAUGAGGAACACAACAACCACAGAUAUAGUUACUUAUUCUUUAGAUUUUUCAAUUAAGUAAAUAUUGAAGUAGUCCGAGUAUUUUAUUUAAUUAUUUAGGGUAUUUAGUUACUUUGUUUAAGUUGUUAAGGUAAUCGAUUUUCUUAUUACUUUCUCGUUCCAUCACAGGUUUUCGCCCACAUAAAUAUGCGUUUUAAUCUCAAGGUUAGACACUACUAUUAUUGAUAUUGACAGAUUUCAUAAAAUUCGUUUUCGGUCGUGAUGGAUCAAAAUUAUCUCUGUUGUGAUCAAGAGAUCCUAGCAUUCAAGUGCAGAGCCUAAAACCUAGUUAUUUUUCUGCCAUUCCAUCAUUUCCGAUUUCUUGUCAUGCAUCAUUAAGUAACAACUUACUUAAAGGCAAGUCUGCUCAAGAUUAAGGUACUUCCAGCUUAUUAAAAAGGAAUAACAAAAAGCCUUAAACUUUUAACUAAUAUUUUAUCUUCUUAUACAGUGGAGAGUAGCUCUAUCAAGAUCAAUAUUUCAGGAUUUGUAAAUAAACAUAAUUAAGUUUGCAAAGCUAGGUCAUAAAUUACAAUGACAAGAAGAAGGAAAAAUAAAAAAGAAAGCCAAAUAAUUACACAUUGACCAUUGCUUUUAAGUUGUUGCAACUAAUCAUCUGGAUUCUGAAAAAUAAAUAUAUACUUCCACACAUAUGGGUAUUAUAGUUUAGACUCAUCAAAUUCUUCUAUAUUUUACUAUUUUUGAAGCCAUUAAAUAAGAAAUGUGAAAUGAUAAUGAGUUGUUCUCUCUCUAUAUUCCUCUGAAUCUCUCUACUUCUUCCCCAAUAUUCUCUCUCCCUAUUUUCUGAAUCUUCUUCCUAAUUCACUGUUUUCAGAGAUUAGAGUUGAAUUUGAGCUCUGUAAUUGAUUUGAUUAAGCCAAAUCAUUACAAUUGGUAUCAAAGCGACUCGAUCCAACUAUGGCAACUAACAAGCAACGAUUGAUGAAUCUCGAAACUCAAAUGGCUGAGCACUCCAAUUUAAUUGUUGGAUUGGAGGAUAAAAUCGAGUAGAAAAUGGAACAAAAAUUGCAGCAGAUGAUGAUGAAAGGAAUUGAAGCUCUUCUUGCUGUGAGGGGACCACAACCAAAAGAUAUACCAUGUAAUACUCAAGGCUCAGAUUCGUCAGUUUUGGGAUCGUUUGAAGGAGAGAUUGGUAAUGAAAAGUCUAGUAACAAUAUUUUCAGAACUAUUAAGUUUGAAUUUCCUAAAUUCGAUGGAUCUAACCUUAGAACAUGGAUUAGGAAAUGUAAUAAGUUGUUUGCUUACCAUAUGGUUGCUGAAAGUCAAAAGUUAUAUCUAGCAACUAUAAACUUAGAAGGUGAGGCAGAGGAAUGGUACUCAAGAUUUGUAAAUGAAGGAGAGGAGCUUACCUGGAAAGACUUUGUGGAAGAAAUUACGGCUAGAUUCAGUCCUGAAGUACAUAUUAAUCCUAUUGGAGAGUUAAAAAAUCUACAGCAAGUGGGAACUGUGGAUGAAUACAGAAGAAAAUUUGAGGAACUAAAGAGUUGGGCACUGUUGAGAAAUUCUGUGUUGAAUGAGUCUUUUUUUAUAGACUGUUUUGUGGGAGGUUUAAAGGAGGAGAUAAGGUUAGGUAUUCAAGAGCUCAAAAUUACCACUCUAAAGGAUUUGAUCAAAUUAGCCAGAGUGGAGGAAGCUAAACUAGAGGCUUGGUUAAAAAAGAGUAGAAUGGGAAUCAAGUUAGUGAUUGGAGGUUAUCAAAAGACCAGUCCUAUGCCUAACACCAAAACUGUUGAUGGAGGUUCUGCUAUCAUACAGACUGCUGGGUUUCCAAGCAUGGAAGUGGGGAAAUCAAUGCCUAAUAGGGGCUUAACUAGGGAGCAGAUUGCUGAAAAAAAGGAGGAAGAAAUUAUGUUACUUAUGUGAUGAACCAUACACUAUGGGACAUCAAUGCAGAAAACCACAACUUUUUAUGAUCAUUCCAUCCUGUGAAGACAUUAAUAAGGAUGAGGAUGAUGAUGAAUGUUGUGAGUAUAAUGAGUCAAAAAGAUUUGGUAGGGAUGUUACUCAACAAGAAGCUCAUAUCACCCUUCAUGCCUUAUCUGGGCAUAGUGCUAAUAAUACGAUAAGAAUUCUGGGAAUGGCUAAUGGGAAAGUGUUGAGAAUUUUAAUUGAUAGUGGCAGCACUAAUAAUUUCCUAUACCCCCAAGCAGCUAAGAAAGUUAAGGCUGUGUUAUGGCUUUAAAGUCACUAGUUUUUAGGAGUGUAAGUCUUUUAAUUGGUCAGUCCAAUGAGAAUCAUUCACUACUGAUUUUAGAAUCUUGCCAUUAGGGGGAAUUGAUGCAGUAUUGGGGGUACAAUGGUUGAGGAGUUUCAACCCAGUAACCUUUGACUUUGAACAAUUGCAGCUCUCAAUUAACAAAGGAAGUAAGGAAGUGGUUUUACAAGGAGAAUUUAAUAUGGUUCCUCCUGCAAUACAUCUCAUGUCUUCUGGAGAAUUCAAGCAGACCCUAAAUAGUACAACUCAUGGUUAUUUUGGAUUUCUGUUUGGAAUGACUCAGGAAUCUGCAAAAAACAUUGCUGUUGUAAAACCAGAUCAGGUGAUUGGUAAUAUAAAUGAGAAUAAUCAGCCUUUUUGUCAAAUGGAGGAAGUAUUGCAGACAUACUCAGAGGUAUUUCAAGAGCCAAAAAGUUUACCUCUUACAAGAUCACAUGACCAUCACAUUACAUUGAAGGAAGGAAGCCAACCUGUUAAUUUGAGACCUUACAUAUAUCCAUAUGUGCAGAAGGAAGAAAUUGAGAAAAUAGUUAGUGAGAUGCUGGUUUCUGGGGUGAUACAACCAAGUAAUAGUCCUUAUGCUUUUCCAGUGUUAUUGGUCAAGAAACAUGAUGGUUCUUGGAGAAUGUGUGUGGAUUAUAGAUCUUUAAAUGAUAUGACAAUCAAGGACAGAUUUCCCAUUCCAGCCAUUGAUGAAUUGUUGGAUGAGCUACAUGGCUAUAGAUGGUAUUCCAAACUAGAUCUCAGAUUUGGUUACCACCAAAUUAGGGUGCAUGUCCCAGACAUUCCUAAAACCGCAUUUAGAACACACACAGGUCAUUUUGAAUUUUUGGUGAUGCCUUUUGGACUCACUAAUGCACCAGCUACCGGAAAGUCAUUAAUGAAUCAAAUAUUCAAGCUAUAUCUCAGGAAGUUCAUUCUAGUCUUCUUUGAUGACAUUUUGGUCUACAACAAAACCUAUGAAGAACAUUUGAUACAUUUGAAGCUAACAUUGCAAAUCCUUAAGGACAAUUUACUUUUUGCCAAAAGAAGUAAGUGUGAGUUUGGAAUUGAGCAGGUCAAAUAUUUAGGACAUGUCAUUAAUCAACAUAGAGUAUCUACUGAUCCUGACAAAAUAGAAUGUAUGACCAAGUGGCCAUUGCCUACCAACAUUAAAAGCCUCAGAUGAUUUUUGGGAUUGAUCGGUUACUAUAGGAAAUUUAUUCACAAUUAUGGACUGAUUAGUAAGCCUCUUACUGAACUGUUAAAAAAGGACAAAUUCCAAUGGCAUGAAGGGGCCACUCAAUCUUUUCUGAGUCUUAAAGAAGCUAUGGUCAAGGCUCCUGUGUUAGCUAUGCCUGAUUUCACUAUGCCCUUUGUUUUAGAGACUGACGCUUCUCAUACUGGUUUAGGGGCAAUAUUAAUGCAGCAAGGUAGGCCAAUAGCCUAUCUUAGUAAGGCUAUAGCAGCAAAACAUCUGGGCUGGUCUACCUAUGAAAAAGAGUUAAUGGCAGUCAUCUAUGUUACUACUAAAUGGAGGCACUACUUGUUUGGCAACAAGGUACUCAUCAAAACUGAUCAUCAUAAUUUAAAAUACCUCUUAAACCAAAGAGUGACCACUACUAACCAACAGAAAUGGAUUACUAAAUUGAUGGGAUUAGACUAUGAAAUAGUAUACAAGAAAGGAAAAGAAAAUGUGGCUGCAGAUUGUCUCUCUAGAAAAUCUGAGAAUGGAGAAACAACUUUUAACUGUGCUACUAUAUCUACAGUCCUUCCUCAAUGGAUUACUGAAAUAGACCAGUCUUGGGAAUCAGACCCUGGCUUAAAGGACCUUAUUAUCCAGUUGCAAGUUGAUCCUCAAUCACUCCUUGGUUAUUCCUUCAAGCAUGGAAGACUCAAAUUCCAAGACAUGUUAGUGAUUGGUCCAGAUUUCCCUUUGAGAACCAAACUGUUGACUGAAUUUCAUGAUUCUCCUAUGGGGGGUCAUUCUGGAAUUAAAGGCACUUAUGAGAGAUUGAGGAAUUACUUCUUCUAGACUACUAUGAUGACAGAUGUUGUCAAAUUUGUUCAGGAGUAUGACAUUUGUCAAAAACAUAAGCAUGAAACUAAGGCUUUACCUAGGUUGUUACAACCCUUGCCUAUACCGGAAGGACCAUGUAUUGAUAUUUCCAUGGAUUUCAUUGAAGGGCUACCCCAAUCUAAAGGAUGUACAAUUAUAUGGGUGGUGGUAGAUAGGCUCACUAAGUAUGGUCAUUUUAUACCUCUCCAUCAUCCUUUUACUGCUCAAGAUCUAGCCCAAAUUUUCAUCAAUAAUAUCUACAAGCUCCAUGGAUUUCCAUCUACAAUUGUUUCUGAUAGAGAUAAGAUUUUUGCAAGUUUGUUCUGACAGUCACUUUUCAAACUAGUUGGCACCAAAUUACAAUUGAGUUCUGCAUACCACCCCCAAUCCGAUGGACAUACUGAAAGGCUUAAUCAAGUCUUGGAAUGUUAUUUGAGGUGUAUGGUCUCUCAAAGACCUAAACAGUGGCUUAAUUGGCUUCCAUUGGCUGAAUGGUGGUACAACACUCAUUACCACAGUAGACUGAAAACCACUCCUUUUGAGGCUUUAUAUUGUUAUAAACCUCCACAUCUCAACUUUCAUCAAUUUGGCCAAGUCCAUGAUCCUACUACUAAGGCCUUUUGCAAAGAUAGAACUCAAACACUUCAACUCCUUAUGCACAAUUUAGUAGCUGCUCAAUCUAGGAUGAAGUAUUAUACAGAUAAAGCAACGAGUGAAAGAUCAUUUGUGGUUGGGGAUCUUGUCUAUUUGAAAAUCAGGCCUUACAAGCAGUCUACUUUAUCUCAGAAUACUCUUGGAAAAUUAGCUCCAAAAUUUUUUGGCUCAUUCCCUAUACUAGAAAAGAUUGGAACGGUGGCUUAUCGACUUCAGUUACCCUCCCAUGCUCGAGUCCAUCCUGUUUUUCAUGUGUCACUACUCAAGAAGAAAAUUGGUUCUAAUUGUUCAAGCUUUGCAGACCUCCCUUUACUGGAUGUUCAUGGUCAAUUUCUGGUAGAGCCAUUAGCUAUACUGGACAGGAAGAUAGUUAAGAAGAAUAAUGCAGCAGCAACUGAAGUCUUAGUCCAAUGGUCCAACACUUUACCAUCUGAAGCUACUUGGGAAGAUGGGACAAGUUCCACAAGCAAUUUCCUCAAUUCCAACCUUGAGGACAAGGUUGUCCUUAUGGAGGGUGGACUGUAAGGACACCUUCAUGCUGUUAUGCUGAUAGAGUUAGUUUGGUGAUCAAGGUUAUUGUUGUCUUUUCCUUUAUUGUAAUAAGGCUAAUAUAGCCUUUUUCUUUAACAGGAGUGAGUCAUGUCUCAGUGUUAUAUACUGAAGAGAUUGUAAUUGCUGGGUCGUGAAAUGAUAAUGAGUUGUUCUCUCUCUAUAUUCCUCUGAAUCUCUCUACUUCUUCCCCAAUAUUCUCUCUCCCUAUUUUCUGAAUCUUCUUCCUAACUCACUGUUUUCAGAGAUUAGAGCUGAAUUUGAGCUCUGUAAUUGAUUUGAUUAAGCCAAAUCAUUACAAAAUGGUAACCUAAGUGCAACAAAAUUCAGGAGUUCUUCAAACUUCAACUAUGGAAUCAAGAACAAUACCAUGAUUCUAUUACCUCAAACACAACAAACCGAAUUGACAAUACAGAUUAUCUUCCAUAAAAAUAACCAAACCAAAAAUUAAAAUUUAAUAUAACUGAUCUGGAUCCAUAUUGAAGCAGCAACAAUAUAUAUAUAUAUAUAUAUAUGCAUACGUACCUUGCACCUUGCAGUAAAUGCACGCCGGCGGGAGGAGUAACGGAUGAAGCCUGAAGGCUUUUGGCGUUGUAAUUUGGACAGAGAAAAUGGAGAUGCAAGAUUGUGAAAUUGGGAAAAGAAGAUGAAGAAUACAGGGAAAAGAUAGGAUUUAGGAAUACUGUGUAGGGUUAGUUUUGGAUUUUCAGUUUUUGGAGUGAUAUGAAUUCAACCGGGUUUACUUCUUUUCUUUUCUUUUUUUAAAAAAAAAAAAAACAAAGUCUGCCUUGCGAUCUGGCGGAAAAUCCACCUGGCAAACAGCAAUUUUUGGAGGAAGAAAUUCUCAGGUGAUUGAGUGUUAAUUCGAUUAACUUAAGUAUUGAUUUUGUUACGAUAUAGCUCUUGAAAAAGCUAGUUAUCCUCUUAGAAGGAGGUUCAAACCUAUAUCAAUCCCAUACUACUCAUGUGUCUCUAUAUGACAAACUGAUAUUCAUAACAGAUUUUUAUUACAGUAAUCUCACUGCUUCUUUUUUUUUCAAGUAAGGGAAUUUUUAAUUACAUAUAAUAGGAAUUAAAUGGCUUCUUCUUUCAUGUGUAUCAGUUCUUGAUACUGGGUUCU
rnacentral:lncRNA from 1 species